GCUGCCCUAGCUCAGCAGGCAGAGCACUUCCUUGGUAAGGAAGAGGUCGGCGGUUCGAAUCCGCUGGGCAGCUCCA
rnacentral:tRNA from 1 species